rnacentral:rRNA from 1 species
CCUACGGGAGGCAGCAGUGGGGAAUCUUGCGCAAUGCGCGAAAGCGUGACGCAGCAACGCCGCGUGAGGGAAGACGGCCUUCGGGUUGUAAACCUCUUUCAGUUGGGACGAAGCCACGGCGGUUAAUACCCGUCUGUGGUGACGGUACCUUCAGAAGAAGCCCCGGCUAACUACGUGCCAGCAGCCGCGGUAAUACGUAGGGGGCAAGCGUUGUCCGGAAUCAUUGGGCGUAAAGCGCGUGUAGGCGGCUUGGUAAGUCCGCUCUGAAAGCCCGGGGCUCAACCCCGGGAGGCGGGUGGAUACUGUCAAGCUCGAGUCCGGAAGAGGCGAGUGGAAUUCCUGGUGUAGCGGUGAAAUGCGCAGAUAUCAGGAGGAACACCAAUGGCGAAGGCAGCUCGCUGGGACGUGACUGACGCUGAGACGCGAAAGCGUGGGGAGCAAACAGGAUUAGAUACCCUGGUAGUCCACGCCGUAAACGAUGGGCACUAGGUGUGGGAGGUGUCGACUCCUCCCGUGCCGAAGCUAACGCAUUAAGUGCCCGCCUGGGGNGGACGGCGCGAGAACGUAAACGUAAAGUUAAGUUAGUAGCGUUGAGAGNGCGAGGACGACGACGAGGGAGGAGG